rnacentral:lncRNA from 1 species
GCUUCUCAUUUUCCUCGACCAUUGAAGACCAUUGAAAACACGACAACUUUAGAAUAAGUACUAUCAAUGAAAUAAUCUUGUGAAGGCACUCACAUCUUAGAGUGUCGCCUUUCGAUCUUUCAUCGCCUUAAAAAGAUUAGAAACUGCAUUAUUGGUAAUGGUAGAAAAUAUAUAUUUCUCCACAUAGCAAAUUAGACAAUCAAUCAUGAAGUGAUCAUCCAUUUUCUAGCGCAACUUCUUUUUGAUAACAUCCAUAGCUGAAAAAACAUCUCUCGAGUGAUGUUGUGGCAACUGGUAAUAUCAGUACUAGAUUUAGAAGGUGAUGGACCAAAAGAAACGUAACAUGCUUAUUUGUUUGCAUCAUUAGUUUAGCCAGAUCAACAAUUUCGUCCAAAUUGGCAAACCUUUCAUCUGCUUGCACAUUGUCAAUGUAAGUGCAAAGUUCAGGAUCAAGAUCAUCCAUUUUUCUUGAAUCAAAGUCAUCUGGAUAAAACCCAGCUAGCUUCACUAAGCUAUCCAAGUUAAAAGCAGCAAAAUAUUCUUUUGGGUUGAAAGAAGCCAUGUGCCCAAGCAAUGCGUAAUUUACCUUAUUGAAGCGGUCAUCAAACUC